ACGAACGCUGGCGGCAGGCCUAACACAUGCAAGUCGAGCGCUACCUUCGGGUGGAGCGGCGGACGGGUUAGUAACGCGUGGGAAUAUACCCAGUUCUAAGGAAUAGCCACUGGAAACGGUGAGUAAUACCUUAUACGCCCUUCGGGGGAAAGAUUUAUCGGAAUUGGAUUAGCCCGCGUUAGAUUAGAUAGUUGGUAGGUAAAGCUUACCAAGGCAAUGAUCAAUAGCUGUUCUUAGAGGAUGAUCAGCAACACUGGGACUGAGACACGGCCCAGACUCCUACGGGAGGCAGCAGUGGGGAAUCUUGC
rnacentral:rRNA from 1 species